ACAGAAAGCUUGAGUAACUGCCCCAAAGUCACACUACAGAACCAGAAUCUCAGCCAGGUUCCAGAGGCCUAGCUUUUACUGACCACGAUUAGAUGCCUGAGUGAGCAAGAAAUGCUAAAUUAUCAGGCAACCUGUAAAUAUUUUAAGGGACCGGAACAAAUCUGUCCAAGGAAAACUGCUAAAAUGCAAAAUUUGCUCAGAUGAGGAAAUUCACCAAAUCGCUGGUCCCCCUAGGUUCAUGCAGGUUACAGGUGGCACCCCCGAUCAGCGACAGAAUCAGGUACUCUACAAAGUGGCGCCCAAACAGGGACUUCAAGGACAUGAAGAAGAAGGUCUGCUGGAGCAGAGGAACUGAAAUUGACAAGGUGAACGGGGAUCCCAGGUCUGUAAAAUCGGACGGACUGCCAAUCAGAGAAUGAGAGAUGCCCAGCCUGGCCUUACAUUCUUUCAAUUAAUA